rnacentral:lncRNA from 1 species
UUUUAGUCAGGUUAAUUUGGGCGGUUCCGCCACAGCUGGCAUCAGAGCUCGAAGCACGGUACGGAGAACAGCAAACCUUAAAACUCUUUUCCUAACUAAAAUUAGCUAGAAGUAAAAUCGAGAAGUUCGUAAGUUCGCUAAGGAUGAGUUUAGUUCGAGGAGCCCUAGGGGAUUUUGGGGUUGUUUUUAAGGUGGCUAAUAGUUAUUGGUUAUCUUCUAAC